UAAAUCCGUGACUUAGUACAUUUGUAGCACUGGAUGAUUCUCUUCAACCUGUGUGAGAAGGUGCUGUUGUACCUGACGGUUUUCUUGCAGUAGGGAAUAUUAUGGAGCAAGAGACUGCUAAGUGAGACAAACCACAGUGUGGAGGCCAUUUACCACACAAGGAAAGAGCCUGGUUGCUCUAACAGGGCCUGGAGGAAACCAGGACUGCAUCUGGGGUGUGGUAAGGUGAUAAAUCUGAGCAUCCCUCCCACCCUUAAGGAACAGAAAAGGCCUUUCCAGACAGAGGCUUUCUGCCUGCGUGAGUGUCAACACAGAGUUCAUUUGAGGCAAAUUCUGUGGUGAAGAGAAAGAGAAAAAGAAAUGGAUGGAGCAGCAGGUGAGGCAAUCUGCCUCCUUUCAGCCAAGAUCAUGAGAACGCUACUAGAUGCUACCAAGACCAGCAGUAAACCUGAGGCAGAGGCCACAGCAUCAUCACUACCAGACACACCUCGCCUGGGUCACCAGUGUUGAACUAGGCUGUUUCCUCCCUGCACUUCAGCCAGUGUUUUUUUCUGACCCUUGUACAGCAAUACAUCUCAGCCAGAGCAAAAGAUAAUCUUCAUAAAAAUUGGAGCCUGGACAAAAGUGUGACUGAGCAGCAAUGAUUGUGUUCUUUGGAAUGACGUAAGGCACUCCACCUCUCACCUGUGCGCCCGUGGUGGCUUUCUUCUGCAACCUCCCAUUUACUGUUUGGAUUGGGAUCUGAAGCGCAGGAGAGGCCUCAGUACAUGAACACAACCAGUUUAAAAAAAAAAAAAAAGAAAGCACAAACCAAAACAAAAUGAAACAGGUUUGAUGCAUAAACUGAGGUGUGUCUGUGCAAUAAGCAGGCCCCAGAAUCUUCUAGUUCAGGUGACAACAGAAAAAGGAAAACAACUUGUUAAAACAUUUCCCGAAGCAGAAGUUUCUAA
rnacentral:lncRNA from 1 species